rnacentral:rRNA from 1 species
CCUACGGGGGGCUGCAGUGGGGAAUAUUGGACAAUGGGGGAAACCCUGAUCCAGCAAUGCCGCGUGUGUGAAGAAGGCCUGCGGGUUGUAAAGCACUUUCGGUUGGGAAGAAAAGUUUGGCGCCAAUACCGCCGAACCUUGACGUUACUGACAGAAGAAGCACCGGCUAACUCUGUGCCAGCAGCCGCGGUAAUACAGAGGGUGCAAGCGUUAAUCGGAAUCAGUGGGCGUAGUCAGGGCGUUGAUGUGCGAAAUCCCCGGGCUUAACCUGGGAACUGAAUUCGAUACUACAUGGCUAGAGUAUGGUAGAGGGAAGUGGAAUUUCCGGUGUAGCGGUGAAAUGCGUAGAUAUCGGAAGGAACACCAAUGGCGAAGGCAGCUUCCUGGACUAAUACUGACACUGAGGCACGAAAGCGUGGGGAGCAAACAGGAUUAGAUACCCUGGUAGUC